rnacentral:rRNA from 1 species
AGAUUGAACGCUGGCGGAAUGCUUUACACAUGCAAGUCGAGCGGCAGCGCGGGGGCAACCCUGGCGGCGAGCGGCGAACGGGUGAGUAAUACAUCGGAACAUGUCCAGUUGUGGGGGAUAGCCCGGCGAAAGCCGGAUUAAUACCGCAUGAGCUCGAGAGAGGAAAGCGGGGGACCGUAAGGCCUCGCGCGACUGGGUUGGCCGAUGUCCGAUUAGCUAGUUGGUGGGGUAAAGCCUACCAAGGCAACGACGGGUAG